UCUUCUGGGCAACUAGUAGACACAGAGACAGGAGACACUGAUGUGAGGCCACAGGUCGCCCACAUAUUAAGGGAACACCAAAGACCUCUGGUGAUCCCUGGAUCCUGCCGUUUCCUUUGGACGCCUGACUACUAGGAGAAAUAUGACAUUUCCCAGGACUUCUGAAUCUCAUCUCCCAGCUGAUCAUAGCCCGCAAACAAGCCCUGGCCAACUGAACCAGAGCACAAGCAAACCCUAGCCAAUCAGGCCAGAGCACAAGCAAGCCCUAGCCAAUCAGGCCAGAGCACAAGCAAGCCCUAGCCAGUCAGGCCAGAGCACAAGCAAGCCCUAGCCAGUCAGGCCAGAGCACAAGCAAGCCCUAGCCAAUCAGGCCAGAGCACAAGCAAGCCCUGGCCAACUGAACCAGAGCACAAGCAAACCCUGGCCAAUGGGACAAGAAUAGGAAGCUCAUUUGGCUAUCAGGACCUGUCCUCAGGUGAGAGAUGCUCUUUGUCCCUUUCUUUGUCUUUUUGCUUGUUCUCUUGGAAAUGUACAGAUGCGACUCUGGUGCCAGCAGUCACCAGGCCAUUAGGUGACUUGGGAACUGAAACCACACCAGUGAGAUAGGAUUCAAAACAGACCAGUCCUAACCCCUGGGAGGGCCUCAGCCUGCCAGCUUGGACCACCUCAAGGUAGCAACGUGUAGCAAGAGGUACACAGCCACUGUGAAUUAUCCUAAUCAAAUAACUGUUUCCAAUUAUUUGAUGUAAGAGUAAUCCCAAAGAAAAAAAACUGAACAGAAUCCUUUUGGAAGCUUCUUGAAAAAAAUGACUUGUAACAGAUUUGUAGAAUUAAAUACUCAAAUAAGAGUAAUUUUAUCAAGGACCCUUCCUUCUGUUUUCAUUCUAACAUACUACCACAUACACCGGAAGUUUAUCUUAGUCGAUACAAAUAUAAAUUCAACCAGCCAUAACUUCUCUCAGCAGACAGGCUUGCUGAUAAGGCAGACUGAAUUUAACUGCAAGGAGAAUCAAUGACCAUAAGAACCAUUCUUGUACCAAUAGGUGCCGUUGCAGAGGAGUAGCUGCAGUGGGUACCGUGUGGGGACACGUCUUUGGGAGGGGGUGGGGGGAGGGGCAGGCCUGGAAUUAAGCCAGAGUUUCCUGGUCCUUGUCCCUCACACACUGAUGCUCCUUCUGAGGCACUCUGUCCCUCUAGGACCCAUGGUUACAAGAACCAGGCCACUCGGUGUUCACAGACAAUUUCACUUUCAAAUGAACACAACUUUAAGCAGAAGCUGGUGUGUCCACAGCUCAUGCUUCUGUGCAAAUGGAUGGUAGUGUUAGAUGUGGAAAUGCAAUCUAUAAAAAAUGGUUCCCAGAGACGAAGCAGCCGCUGUUUCAUCAGUCACGGCCCACCUCCAAAAGGCUUCUCAUCACCCUGAAAGGAUGGUAUCAAUUAAUUUAUCUUCCCGCCACGUAUUGAUCAUAACCUUCAUCAGCUAAUCAUGUUUAAAUUACAGAGGAAUUUCGUGGCACUCCGUCAUUUCAAAGCCAUUGGUGUAUUGAUCAGGGACCGUUGAAAAUGUGUAUUAGACUAUCUUAAGAAAAAUCAUUACGUGCACUCAAAAAGAAAACCUAAGGUCAGUGUCCAAGAGCUGAAAAAUAAGUGUCACAGGGAGGUUCUGAAACUUCAAACCCCAAAUUAACCCCAAAUCCUAGUUGCCCAGGUGCUGUGGUCUGGAUGUAAAAUGCCCCUUUGGGCUCGUAUGUUGGAAACUUGAUACCCGACUGGUGCCACUGUUCAGGGAGUUCUUGAAGAGUUAGAAGGUGGAGCCCUGGUGAAGGAUGUGUAUUUUUUAGCCUGGUGCUACUUCCUGUCCUGUCUUUCUAGGGAUGAAAUGUGAUCAGCCGGCUUCCUGGCUGCCAGUCCAUCUUCGCGCUCCUGCUGGUAUGCUCUCCCCACCAUGAUGGGGCCUAUCCCCUCUGAACUGUCAGUCAAGAGAAACCCCCUUGCCCCAGUUGUUCUUGUCACAGCAACAGAAAAGUAACUAAUGCGCCAGGAAACUAAGCAUUUGUCAAAGGAGGCUCAGAUAAUCAAUGUUAGGUCUUACUCCCAGCCUGCGUUCCCACCAACCUGGACCCAAAACGACUUAACCAUGGCCCCUAGAGGAAAGGCACCAAACAUCUCAACUGCGCACUCUGGGCACCUGCUAUGAAGGUCUUGUGUAAGGGAAGGUUUAGGAAACUGAGUCAAGCAUGUUAUGGAAACUCACAUCGUGUGACACUUUGAGUGUGAAUCCCUGCCAUCCUUCAUGGAAGGCACCGGCAACUAUUUAAGGAUAAAGGGCACGGCUCAGAGCAAAGCCGCAAUGGGCGGCACAGAGCGUGGCUGCACACUAAGUAAAAGCCCUGGGCCCAUGGCGACUGCUCCUCAAACUUCAUCACCAGGACACAGACCCAUAGCAUCUAACAGUCAGCAGCAUUUACUUUUUACUACAUUUUAUUUUGUGUUUGAGCCAUUUCCUCUUUAUUAUUCUUCAGACCUUCUAACUUACACCAAUAAAGGAAAGAAAAUGAUAUUUUCAAUUUUUUGUUCCACGAUGUUGUGAGUAAUUUGUUAAGAUAAAACAUAAGAAUAGGGCGCAUCUACUUAACGACAGACAAGAGGAUUCUGGGUAAGGAUGAGUCAAAUGAGAAAGGGGGAAGAUGAAGAAGGCUGUCCGGUGUUGUAAGACACCAUGGCACCUUUUCUGUCUAAGGGAAAAUGGAUAUUAACUUCCUGAUAAUAGCCACAUACUCGCUGAUGGCUGCUGCUACUUCAGCUGCGCUGUGUUCAAGGAAGAAACAGCGCCACACCUGGCGACUCAGUUAAAGACUUUCCUAAGUGUCACUAGGUGACUGAAAAGUGCAGAGACAACUCCGCUCAGGAAGGAGCCACGUGUACGAUUACAGGACCAUGUCCACCACUGUGGGACUGUGUGGGAACCUAGGCAGAGCUGAACUUGACAGUGACAGCUUAGUCCCUCCCCAAACACAAGUCUACAGCAUGGGCCACAGGGACAAAGGCUGGGCCUGCCACCGUGAAACCGUAAUUAUUGCUGAUACUUGGAAUAAAGUGCUGGUAGGGUUACAGUCAGAUAUAACCCCAGAUUCUGCUGGCUGGGUGAUCUAAAUGCUAGAAGCUUGGCCAUUCGACAAAUACUUACACCAGUAGUACACACACGGAAACGCCUCGCUUUAUGUGUUAUGUAUCAAACACACAAAAACCCAAGCCCCAAAUGAUCUGGGUUUUUUUUGUUUGUUUGUUUGUUUUGUUUUUACUGUUUUUUUUUUUUAUUCUCCAUGCUUGGUGGGGUUCUAUACCCCUAAGGGCUGUGCUCCAUCUAAAUGUGUCAUCUAGGACAAGAUGACCACUGCCCUUUACCACAGAGUCCCACCAAUUUCUCUCUUCUCCUUCUUGGGUGUGGGGGGCUUGGGGUUCUUUAAAGCUGCUUCCGCUACAAUGUAGCUUUCUGUCUGGACUUGAACAGGGGUCAAGAGCUUUCUUUUUGGACUUGAAUGGGGGUGGGGGACAACAGAAAGCCCUCCCUUUGGCUAGCCGUUUGUUUGUACCUGUGGAUUUAAUCUCAAAGCUCACAAUGGUCAAGCUCAGUCAGAGGAGCAAGUCAGAAAGGUGCCACCUUAAACAGGGGUGGGCUAGUACCUGGCGGUGUGACAAAAUUCUCCUCCAAGUUGGAACGUCUCCAUCCUAAUCUGGGUUAAUGUAAUCUUUAAACUAAAACAUAUAUUCAUAUACAUAACUUCAUUCUCCAACUAGAAAAAGUUACAGAUCCUAACAACAAAAACCAACAUGAAUUUACUUGCUUCUCCCAAAACUGAACAUUUUCUACUGAACAAGGAAGCGCUGGAAACUGGCAGUGACUGGAUCUGCUCACCCCGUCACACACGGCUUUUUCUCCUCCCAUGACGCUGCUGGCUCAUCCACACAACCAUGAGUCUCCUUGGUCCUGCCAGGAGAGUGAGCCUCUGCUCACAGCCCUGUGACCAUGCACAUAGAGGCACUUGUCAUUGCUGGCUGAAGGCUGGGCAUAGUGGAAGACCUAUGACCUCACUCCAUCCGGCAGAUAAAGAGGACUCAGUUGAAGACGCACUGGUCUCACAAAACCUGAAAGACUGAGGCAGGAGGAAAACUACUAAUUCUAGGCCAGCCUAGACCACAUGUGGGACUGUGAAAGGCAGCCUGCCUGGUUCCUGGUUGAGCUAAGGCUAGACACCUCAGUAACCCUGAAGGGAAGUAGGCCUUUCACCUGUUCCCAGGUACCAGGCCCCUGUCACUAGCCGCAGUCCUCCACAGAAUUGUGGCCUUCAGUCACAUGAGAGCAACACCUCAAGCCCCUCCAUAGGUAGGGGAUGUGGCUACAGGCCACACAGGCUCAAAGUAGAUCUCCAUUUUAAUGAGGUAUCUAAAGGCCUGGAGGCUUAGCCAAUGAACUUUCCUUCCCAGACACUUCUCCCUGCAAAAGGUAUUUAACCUCUUUAAAUAAAAUUUAAAAGGUAUUUAAUCUACAGAGCUGCCAUCUAAUCUCCCAUAGAAGGCCUCUCUGCACUCCUAGCCAAGGCUGCCAUAGUCGAGCUCCCCCCACCCUCAGGCUAGAUCUAGCCCUCGGGCCCCCACUCCAUUCUCAGCUCUUCCGAGGCUCCCAGCAGCACCCAGGUGUCCGAGGGCCUGAGAACCAGACAGUCCCAGCCUCCUUGCUCCAGCUGUCCCAAGCAUGCCCAGCAACAGCAUAGGGUAAGCGUGGUCAAACCUCCCUCAUCCUGCUUCCAUGAGUGGCCAAGCCCUGUGGUGGAGCAGACACGGGAACCAUAACCCUACAACUACACAUAGACUCGAUCUCAAACAAGCCAACUACAAUCCCAAAUAUAACAAAUGAAUUUAAAAAAACAAAACAAAGAGGAGGACAGCAGCUCAGACCAUGCCUGAAGGUUUCAGGCAGGACUUCCAGCCCAACCUACACUGACUCAGGAGAGGACCUGGAGAACCCCCUGCUCUCCAGCUUUCUCUCUAAGGUACUCCCAUAACUGGCUGUGGUGGUUUCAGUGAGGUACUCACCCCAUAGUCUUGGGCAUCUGACACCUUAGUUGCCAGGUGCUGGCGCUGUGUGGGGGAGAGCUUAGAAGGUAAGCGUGGCCUAACACACCUCCAAGGCCGACUCAGAGUUGACGAGGGUCAUGCUGCUUUCUCUCUCUCUCUCUGUGUUUUGCUUGAGGUUCAAGAUGAGCGUGAGUGCCCAGCUUCCGACUCUAGCCACCAGGCCUGCUACUUCUUGCUGCUACUUGUCAUGACAGUCACAUAUCCCUCUGGAACUGUAAGCCCAAAUAAACUGUCUUCUAUGACUAACACAGUGACAUAAACAAAAGCAGCUUGUUGCCACGACAACGGUGUAUGGACCAAGCAGAGGUAUGGGCUCCUCUUUCCAGCAGCCUCCUUCAGGCCUAUGUCCUUGUCUGAGGCUACCCCCACCCACAACUUCUGACCCUUGUACCUCAGGAGCUGAUCUGUCUCAGUGACCUUGUGUGGUGCCUACGGCCUCUGGAAGCUGCCUGAAAGUCAGAGUCCAUGUUCCCAUGAGCCCUGGGAGUUUCUGGUGUAGCUGACUACUCCAGGGACUGUCCAUUCCAUUCUUUUCUAGGCUUCCAAAACACACUAGGGCUUUGGCCUCACCCCUCUGCCUGGAACUUCUCAAUUCCUUUGUUGGCUUCUCACAAGGCCUUCCUGUGCUCUAAAACUACAAGACCACGGCCAGCCCGAUGUCUGACUUUACAGUGCUGCAAGCCACACAUCCUCUUUCUGCUGCAGUCCCAGGCUCCUGUGCAGCGCACAGGGGCAGAGCAGACACACAAAACCAGUGUCCGACCACCAGAGAAGCUCCCAAACCACCUCCACUGUCAAUACCCCGACCAAGCCCUCACCCACCCAUGGCUGAUUAGAGACAGAGUCUAAAGGACGCCUAACUAUAGCCUGAGGCCCUGGCUGCAGGGUCAUCUUCUCCAAGGCAAUCUGACUGUAACAUUGUAAUUAUGACAUUCUCACUAGAUAUUAAAUGCUUCUGGCUACACAAACCUCAUGUGGGUUUCUUCUCCAAGGCAAUCUGACUGUAACAUUGUAAUUAUGACAUUCUCACUAGAUAUUAAAUGCUUCUGGCUACACAAACCUCAUGUGGGUUAAGGGUGGUUUCUGCACUCCCGAGGUAGUCCUACCUUAGCACAAAUGUGAAAGUCUUGCUACCUCUUCCAGAAUACCCACAGAUCUCAGAUAAAUUCCCACAAGGUUCUAGAGUAGCAAGUCUCAACAUGUGGGUCGCCAACGCUCUAUCUCCAAAAAUAUUUACAUUAUGAUUCAUAGCAGCAGCAAAAUUAUGGUUAUGAAGUAGCCAUAGUAGAUGAAAAUUAGUUUAUAGUUGGGGCUCAACACAACAUGAGGAGCUGAAUUAAAGGGUCGCAUCCACUAGGAAGGCUGAGAACCCCCACCCUAGAGGGAGAGAUGGCAAGUGAGGAGUGGGAAGAACAGGACCUAGGAGCUGAGAACAGCACACAGCCCUGCCAUUAUGGUUUACAGAGUGGAGUACAUAAGACGCAUCAUUAGACAAGUGUAAGGGGGUGUGUGUGUGAAAGGGGGUUGCUACAGGAAAAACAGCAGUAUGCUGCUAGCCUAGAAUUGGAAGGUCCAUUUUCAGGGUACUGUUUUAGAAAAUUAAGUAUACUAAUAUUUACCUAAAAUAAUAAAACAGUAUUUUUAAUGUUUGUAACAGAUGCGCCAACAAAGGCUAACAGGCACAUGACGGACAUGAAUCAUACUGUACAGUGAGUACCUGAGACAGUCUUGCGCUGCAGACCAGGCUGGCAUCUCAGCAAUCCUCCUGUCUACACCUCCCAACUUCUGGGGUUACAAGCACACCAAUCCACCUUGCCCCCAAAAUAUUUUAAAAGCUUAGUCACUUUGAGUAGUAAUCAUUGUAUGACUUGUGCAUCUCUCUUCUAAGUCAACCCCAAAACAAUACCUAUCACACCUUCACCACAAGGCCCUGAUGGAGAGCCAUGAGGGGAUCACCUGGGGAACCCCCAUAAAUAACAAAAACUGACUGCAGACUGUAAAUCUUCCAGGGACAAAUAGAAGAUCCACUAAUGUCUCCACUUUAAAUUACAGGAUUAUGAUCAUUAAACUAGCUUAUUAAUUAAGGAGAAAUUAAUUGCCAAGUUACCCAUAUAGCUUGGAAUGUGUGACUUAGGAAUGAAAAAAAGAAAAAAAAAACUAAAGUGGAAUAUUUCUCACCACAAAAACGGCAAAGUCAAUACAUGUUGGAGGAAGUGUGUUCCGUUCUGCUGUGAUCCAAUGUAUCCAACAGCCGUUUAUACAGUACAUAAGCACUGUACGUAUAGAACUACAUAAAACUAUUUAUAUAGUUUUGAGUAAAGAGAAGGCUAUGCCAGAAAGAAAAGAAGAAAAAUGGAGCAAGGCUGGGGUACAGCUUGGUUGGAAGAGGGCAAUAAGUUCUAGAUCCCCCCUCCUCCCACGCAUGGCAUAAGCUGGUCAAGAGGGUACACACCUGUCAUCCUGGCACUGGGAAGAGGAGGCCAGGGUAUCUUUCCCUGCUACAUGUCGAGUUGAAGGCCAGCCUGUUCUGCAUGAAACACUGCUUUAAAACCAAACCAAGAACAAAACUGAGACUAGAAAAGAAGAAGGGUGGGAGAAUGGAGAAGCAGAGAACGAACGGCGAGGCAGUGAAGGCUCCCGGAGCUGAGAAUCCACAAGGUAGCUAAAGGCAGUUCCCAAGGUGGGAGACAGUAGUCUGCUACCUGAACACCUUGUUGGGAUCCAGUCAAACUAUGAGGUCAUCUAAACUGCUCUGGAGGCACUGGGCUCCAGAGAUUGGCUGGCUGGCAUUUUGAUUAGACACUGCCAUGUUGUCAGUCCACCCUUCCGGUUGGGUAAUGAUCACUGGCUAUGCAGCAAAGCUACCAAAGACUCUUGUUAAAGGGGGGGGGGGUGUCACAGCUCCGUGACACUGUCACUACCCCUAACAGUUUCUUUAACAGCAUGGGAUCCUUCUGUGGGUAUGUGACUCUGCAAGGGACAUCGCAUUACCCUAAGCUAGAACAGGCUUCAAGCCCCAGCUUGUCACCAUGCAAACCAUGUCCAUUCCUUCCAACUGUCCUGCUUGGCCACCAGCCCUUCUCAUUCACAAACACUAUUUGGCCCAAUAGCAUCCAUGUUCCCUAGAAACCUAUCUCUAAACCCUUAGAAUAGUUCUUCAGUUAGAACAAAUACUGAAGAAGAAGGUGACUUUUCCUACGAUUGAACACGGAAUACUGAGCAGGCCUUGUGGACCUCCGGGCCUCUUUUUGAAACCUUGCCAGUGAAAGCCCAGUGAGAGGCUCUGAACAGAGAGCCCCAGCUGUGGUCCCCAGGCCACCGAGUCAAGAGAGGAUGGAUCAGUGGCCAUGGUGAAUGGAAACUCUGUGGUGACUUGCCUUCCUCCUGAGACCAAAAUGUCUACAUAUGUCUGCCUGUAUCCAUCUAUCCAUCUGUCAAUACACACAUCUCAAUAAAUUAGUGUGUUCAUGUGUAUUAAACAAGUAGGUUUGGCUUUCUUGAUUUUUAAUGCUGGAGAUCCAGAUUCUUAAAACACGCUAGGUUAAGUACUCUAUUGCUGGGCUAGCCUCCAGUCCCCACGACAUCUCUAUUACUCUCUUUAAAAUAAAAAGUCCUCUAAUCUAAGACAUGUUUAAAAAGCCACACUGUAAUUUCUUCUGGUAAGGCCUUUUGCGUUUUUCCUGAAGUAAUGUAGUCUGAAUUCUUAAUCCGAGAUUCAGUUCUUGUCUGUAUUCUUUUUAUCUCGUUGUAUUAAAACAAAUUUAUCUUCAUUUAUGUCGCAAUUACCUAUUAGGGUUGUUAAUUUGCUGGAAAUGAAGCUAUUGUUUAAUUGCUCCUAUUAAUCGGGGAUUUAAAUGCCUACUGUAAUAAACAGUUACCUUCAGGACGGAGCAAAGUCAAGGCUGGGGACAUUAAUUUCAGAAUUUUAGAACGAGGGGAGAUUUCUGUAUCCAGGACCCCUGGAUUUCCUGUUCACAGAAAUGUGGAAGAAUACUGAAUAUGCACAGGAGAGACUCAACUAGACAAGACGGUCUGUCUGCUCCUCUUACACGUGUAACAGACUGUCAUAUAAAAUCACUGAUUAUGACAAAGGACAGGAAAGCACGAUGCGGGGAACACACCCAUUCCCCCACCCCUUCAUGUUGCCACAGCACACAGCUUCUUACAUUUUAUCUCAAUGUAGGUAACCAAACACGGGCGUGUGUCAUCCUAAGCACUGUACCAGCUGGGAAGGUACUGUGGACACCCCACCAGGGUGCUGGCCUAAGAGGGACAACAGAAACAUUCACUGUGCUGAAAAUGGGCCUCGCCACACUCCGCCUGGGGACUGGGGACUGGGGACUGGGGACUGGGGACUGGGGACUGGGGACUGGGGACUAGCUGGUUCUGCCUCAGCCAGGAUGGAUGUGGCGCUUCACUGGGCAGAGCUCUGUACAACACACUUCUCCCAACACUUGCCAGAAGAGCACGCUUGCCAAACCAAAUAGACUCAUGGGUGUCCUUCAGGGACAUCCAGGCCCUAGUCUGCACCCUGGGCGGACAGUGAGGUCUGCACAGUCAAGGUUUGCACUAAGAUGCCGGUGGGUCCUCCAGCUGUACCCCAGUUGUCUUUCCCAACAUCGCAACUGACAUCUGCACCUUUUCUCACACAACCACCACCGCCAUCCACCACACCCCUGAAUUACUGCAAAUCUUAACUGGUUUUGUCAGGACUCUUCUCUAACCCUGGAUUUUCAAUCUCCCAUGCCUUCUGCUUUCCUUAGCUUCCUCAGCUCAGCGAACCUUAGCUUUGGUUUGAAAGCUGCACUUCUAUCAUACUGAAGAGCAGGGCCCGAAUGAUGCUCUUCCAUGGGCUUUCACUGGUCUAAACUCAAAUGUGAGCACAGCCUUUCUAAUCCCCCUCACCACACCACACCACACCACACCCCUGUCGAACUGGUGUCAGGACCAGGGUGGAAGACAGGUGAUGCCUGCAUGACCACAACUCAGCCCCAGUGCCAAUCGCCAGGAGGGCCCCCGAGGGGUCCCAGUCAUGUUCACAGUCCCACAAUGCUUGUGGUGGUGCUACUGUUCCCAGCAUGCUCUUGGCUCAGGAAUUCUCUUAGUAAGACUGUUGGUUCUAGAAUGCAUUUAGUUAUGCUGCUGGCCCUGAGCACUCUUGACUGUAUCCUUGACUGGUGUUCCAGUAGAGGUAAUGAAGCUGAGCCCCAGUCCAUGGCUAACAUACACAGAGCCGGCUGCUUCACUCGGCUGUACUGUAUCCCACAAGUCACUAACUGCUUCAGACACUGUAUCGCUGAGUUGGCGCACGUACCACUGGAUAUACUUAGGAGCAGUGGAGACAGCCAGCUCACACUGGCUAGCCACCAGCAUGCUAAGCACACUCCUUUGCAGCCCAGGCAUCCGAUGGAAGAGACCAGAUUUCCUGCCUAAUUCUUCAGGACUUUGUUUCCUAGAGUAACAGGAAACAGCGCUGAGCAUGCCAGCGAUGCUGCUUCUCAGCACCUGUCUUGUGAGUCAUUUCCUCCUGGCUGCUUGGUGCUAGGGAACCCAAACAGUGCUGCAGAGUAGAACAGGAAGGAAUUGUGUGCACAAGGGAAGCAUGAGGGUUUAGAUGCUACAGAGAAAGCUAUGACAAGGAGGAAAUGUUUAGGCAGAUGAUAUGUGAGGGAAGCAUCAGAUCUACAGAGCAAGCUACGGCAAGUGUACGACUCAUGGCGAAAGGUUUGGAUGCUCUGAAGAGCUGCUGUACACGGCUAUCCUGUGUGCCCAAUUCUAAGCCAGGACCAGGGAGGAAGCUGAUGCUUCUCAAAGUCAGGAGUCACACGACCCAGGCCAGCUCCAUUCCCUCUCACUGAAGCCUAUGUCCAGAGAACUAGAGCUGGACCUCUGAUAAGUCCAGCUUCCUCAAAGAUGCUUACUGGAGACAAAACUAAUUCAUGCUGGGAAAAGCCACCUCAGGGAAGCAGGAAGGCUGACAAGUGUGGAAGCAUGUGUCAAGCUCCUUAAGGACUCUAGACGGCUCAUGCAUGACACAGGAGAGGCAGUCCCCUUACUGGCCUUGCUCCCUUCAGUCACCUUUGGUCUUCUGCACUGAAGACCCUAAGGAUAGAAGCUGAUCCCAGCUUUGCUCACUGCUGGGCAAGCAUUCAUUACUAUCCAACCUCACUCAAAGCAAGAGCCGACAAAACGAAUAGCCCAGCAUAGGCCAUAAUCCCGGCACUCAGGAGGCUGAGGCAGGAGGAUCAGGAGUUUAAGGCCAGUAUGAGAACUGGCCUCAUGGGAACACUGGCCUGACAUGAAGACAGACACGCAGAAGCCGGGCUGAAGAUCUUUGGGAGAGCGAGCUGCGUGGCUUGGGCACGCUAUACUCACUGACAUGGGGUUUCAGGGAGUGGAACACACACCCACUCCGAUUAGAAAACAUGUAACACUUCAAACAUCACAAUUAAACACUGGGGGGAAGAUCUGUUCAGAAGCCUUGGAGAUGAUUAACCUCCCUUCUCACUUGUCCUAAGUCGGAUGCAAAUCAGCACCUUCUGAGCCCAGGCAAGUGAAUAUCCCAAUAAAUUGGCAAUACAAUUCGGAUGGCAGGCAAGGAGCUAAAAGAUAAAUGGCUUAAACAAAGAGGGGAAAAUGAACCUGUCACUUCUCCUCAACUCAGCAAGCUGUCUCACAGAGAAGCGAUGAUCCUGGAGCACGGCUGCUUCUGACAUCCUGAAGUGGGGGCUCUGGGACUCGCUGGGAAUUCCUCAUUCUGCAGCCUCCCAGCUCGCCAGCCACAAGGACCAACCUCACAAAAGACCAAACUGGUUACAAAAUAACCAACACACCAUUAUCAGUUGCUUCAAAGAAAGUGAGAAGAGCCAGGCUGCUGGAAGCAGCCGGCUAGAGAUCAGAAAGCAGUCAGGACAUGGGCGGAGCCAGUAAGGCUCAAACUCAGAGGGGCAGCAACAAGGCAGAGUCUGCAGAGGACCAGGUAAACGUCACAAGCCAAGGCAACAGCUCCAGAUUUUAAAGAUGGAGAUUUUAAACAGAUAAAGAAACCAAGGUCAAUGGGGUUACGGAGGCAGGCAGAGCCUUAAAUAAGGAAGGGCAGGACAGGCGUCCAGCCGUAGAUGCCACCUCACAAACCUGGAACUAGUGAGGUUCAGUGCAAGCAUCAGCUUUCCCUUGAGUGACCACUGCUGUCCUAGUCAAGGUUACAGUUUAAAUCCAUCUCCAGUCUGAAGCUAUCCAUGGCAAAUGAAAGCCAAGGUGCUCAGAGCCAUCUCCUAUGUCCACACCAAUCUUCAGAGAGCUUUAAACUGCUGGGAAAAAUAGCCAGGGCAGGUGAGUGGCUCAGCAGGUAGAAGCUCUUGCUGCCAAGCCUGGCGACCUGAGUCUGAUCCCAAGAUGCACUCAGUAGAAGAAGAAAGAGUAUCCCAUAAGAUGUCUGGCCUCGGGCCUCUACAUGAGCACAUGUGCUGAGGGAACAAGGCCUCUCCUCCAGCUCUGUCAGUCACGAGGCUGUGUCGGAAGGUCCAGGAGAAAUGACAGUGACACACAGGUUGAAUUAUACAAUGUAUUGUGAUGUGAUUAGAAAGAAGGAUGAGGUGACAGAACGGAUUUCCACUCAGUCCCCGUCGUGGCUUUGUGCAUUAAGUCACUGCCGCCCCCUCCCCCAGCGCGUGUGAACACGAACACACACACACACACACACACACACACACACACACACACACACACACACACACACGUCAAUUAUCACUAGCCACCACCACCUAGCACUAGCCCUGCCCUUCCCAAUGCCUCAUGCAGGGUUGCUAAUGGGGCAGGCUUGCCUUUGGAGACACUGUAAUCUUCUGGCUGCCUGAAUGCAAUGAAGUCAAGACUAGCAAGAUUGCUCAGUGGGUAAAGACAUUUAUGACCUUAGUUCAAUCUCUGGAAUCCACAUGGUGGAAUCAGAGGAUUGACUCACGCAAGCUGUCCUAUGAACAAGAGUACAUGGUACACACGUACAUGUACACACACGCACACAUGUAUACACACAUAGCAAUAAAAGUGACCAGGCCUAUGAUGAGUUUCAAGAGCCUAGUAAAAUACAUGAUGUAAACUUCUACGAAAGCAUAAAAACCCUAACAGUUGCUUUAAAUGGACUGCAGCUGUCAAAGAGUUAAGUAGAUGGUGGACAGAAACUUUCUAACAUUUCUCUCCUUUAAUGAGAAAUUAAGUUUAUCAACUGCCAUUGUAAUUAUGCACAGCACCUCAGGUAAUUAAAAGGGAUCUAAAUCUAAUUUUAUUUACAUUUAGAAUACCUGAGGUCAUCUCUGAUCAAGACUUCACCUCGUGACUAAUAAUACUUCAGUGUUAAUUAGAGCUCAGCAGCAAAUGCUGAUUGAUUUUGAAUCUGUAAUCUGCAGUGACUUAGCAACAUCAAGAGAGCCUCAGCCCUUCCUGGAACACAGCAGCUCACACGACUGACUGGCAUCGGGUAUUUUUAGCUCAGGAAACUCUCAAAAGCACAGAUGCUAUACUGUGUGCUUCUCCCUGAGAGAAAAAUUCUCAUAUUAAAUAUAAAUUACUCUGUUUUAGAUCAGGAUGGAUAUGGUGGUAUAAACACAGUAACUGCGGUAUUGAAUUGUCCCUAAAAUGUUUAUAGUACAAGUUUGUCUACUGCAAUAAACAUGCAUUUCUGCCCACCUGGACCUGACGAGGGAAA